rnacentral:rRNA from 1 species
AUGGAUCACCGCACCCUCUCGGUGGGCGAAAGAUGGCUGCGGAACACCCUCAAGCUCACUUCCUUGGGCUUGGCUUCGCUUGAGCGCAUGAUUGCAAGGCAACGUUCGCGAAUCCGAUGGCUGGCAGAAGGAGAUGCAAACACUAAGCUGUUCCAUCUGGUGGCUAAUGGCAGAAAGUUAAGGAAUUUCAUACCGACAUUGCAGCAUGACGGCACAGUCAUCACCGACCAAUGCGGCAAGGAGGAGGCUUUUUAUAAUGCAUAUAAGGAGUUAUUGGGCACGUACCAGGCUAGGGAGCACUCGAUUGAUCUUGACUUCCUGGGCAUAACUCCGCUAGAUCUUCAGGAGUUGGAUGCCAUCUACACGGAGGAGGAGGUCUACUCGGUUAUCAAAAGCAUGCCGGCCGAGAGAGCGCCGGGUCCGGAUGGCUUCAUUGGAUUGUUCUUCCACAGGGCGUGGAACAUUAUUAAAGGAGAUAUCAUGGCUUCAAUUCACAAACUCCAUCUUGGAAAUGGAAGGGUAUUUGGAAGAUUAAAUCAGGCAAUCAUUACCCUCAUCCCUAAGAGACCGGAUGCUUGCAGAAUUGGUGACUUCAGACCGAUCAGCCUACUACAUAGUAUCCCGAAGAUCAAGGCGAAGCUGAUGGCCUCGAGGCUAUGUCUGCGGAUGCAUGAGCUGGUCAGCAUCAACCAAUCGACAUAUAUAAGAGGCAGAAACAUACAUGACAACUUCAUGCUUGUCCGACAAGUAGCCAGGAGCCUGCAUCGGAGAAAGGCUAAAGGAGUUUUGGUCAAGCUUGAUAUCUCCCGUGCCUUCGACUUGCUCUCUUGGUCGUUCUUGCACGAGGUACUGAGAGCCAAAGGGUUCUCUGAGCAUUGGUAUUCUCAGCUUGCCAUACUCCUGUCUACAUCCAGCUCGCGAGUUCUUGUUAAUGGAUGCCCGGGCAGGAAAUUCAGACAUGCCAAAGGGCUGCGACAAGGGGACCCAGUUUCCCCACUGCUCUUCAUCAUUGCAAUGGACGCCCUCACGGCUAUGAUCGUGAAAGCGCAAGAGUGGGGCGCGAUUAGUGCCAUGCCAGGGUGCACGCCUUUCCAAAGGUUGUCGAUCUACGCGGAUGACGUUAUUCUCUUCAUCAGGCCGACCAUCGCUGAUCUAAGUUUUACCAGCUCUGCACUACAAAUGUUUGGCACUGCUUCCGGACUGCAUUUCAACUUCGCCAAGUCCUCUGCCAUCAUGAUACGCUCUGAUGAGACAGACACGAAGAGAGUUGCGACUGCUUUUCCGUGGCGCAUGGAAUCCUUCCCGUGCAAGUACCUUGGCAUGCAGCUCUCCAUCAAACAGCUCACUCGCUCAGAUUGGCAGCCAGUGGUAGACGAUGUGCUAAACUUCCUGCCAGGAUGGCAACGCGGAUUGUUCACAAGACCUGGCAGACUGAUUCUAGUCAACACGGUGAUCAGAGCAAGACCCACACACCAUAUGCUGGUGGCAGAUGCCCCAAAGUGGGCGCUGGAUCGCAUUGACAAGAGCUUCCGCGCUUUCUUCUGGGCGGGCUCUGAACAAAUCCAUGGAGGCAAGUGUCUGGUCUCGUGGCAAAAGGUGUGCCGGCCUAAGCAGCUUGGUGGUCUGGGCGUCUUGGAUUUGAACAAGCAUGGACUGGCUUUGCGAUUAAAGUGGGAAUGGCUUAAACGCAUGGAUGAUUCAAGACCCUGGCAGGGUUUGCCGCUAGCUAUGGAUGCCAACGUACAGGCGGCUUUCAACAGUCUUGUUCAUUGGAAAGUGGACAAUGGAGAGAGGGCCCUAUUCUGGAAAGAUCGGUGGAUCGAUGGUUCGACUAUGGAAGAGAUUGCACCACUGGUACGACAGCGUGUCCGCACGCGAGUGGUCAACAGGCGCACUGUCAGAGAGGCCCUGCACUUGCAUCGAUGGGCAAAUGACAUCACGGGUGAGCUCUCUAUUGAUGGGCUACUCCAGCUUAUCCAGCUCUGGGAUAUUAUGAUCAACACGGUGCUUGAUCUGAGGGGAAGCGACACCCCCUUAUGGAGAUGGAACAACAGCGGAGCAUACACCUCACGAUCGACCUAUGCCAUGUUGUGGCAUGGCGGUGUUCGCUUUGCCCCAGCCGCGGCAAUCUGGAAAUGUUGGGCGCCUUUAUCGUGCAAGCUGUUCAUGUGGCUUGCCAUGCAAUACCGGCUUUGGACGGCAGAUCGACGACUACGACAUGGGUUGCAAGACCAAGCAUCUGCCUGCUACAUCUGCGACCAAGAGGAGGACACGGUCGAUCAUAUCUUGCUCCGCUGCGUUUUCGCACGGCAAGUCUGGCAUUGCUACUUCCUCAGAGCCAGGAUCACGACUAACCUGGUCCCCACGACAGAUGACAAGAUUACAAACUGGUAG